rnacentral:rRNA from 1 species
CCUACGGGCGGCAGCAGUGGGGAAUAUUGGACAAUGGGGGGAACCCUGAUCCAGCCAUGCCGCGUGUGUGAAGAAGGCCCUCGGGUUGUAAAGCACUUUCAGUGAGGAAGAACGCCUGGUGGUUAAUACCCAUCAGGAAAGACAUCACUCACAGAAGAAGCACCGGCUAACUCCGUGCCAGCAGCCGCGGUAAUACGGAGGGUGCGAGCGUUAAUCGGAAUUACUGGGCGUAAAGCGCGCGUAGGUGGCUUGAUAAGCCGGUUGUGAAAGCCCCGGGCUCAACCUGGGAACGGCAUCCGGAACUGUCAAGCUAGAGUGCAGGAGAGGAAGGUAGAAUUCCCGGUGUAGCGGUGAAAUGCGUAGAGAUCGGGAGGAAUACCAGUGGCGAAGGCGGCCUUCUGGACUGACACUGACACUGAGGUGCGAAAGCGUGGGUAGCAAACAGGAUUAGAUACACUUGUAGUC